UCUUCACUUCGCGCACUCUCUCACCGGUCAGAGGAGCGAGAGAGUGCGUGAAACGAAGAGA
rfam:Pristionchus pacificus strain PS312 contig2853, whole genome shotgun sequence.